GCGGCUGGAGCUAAAAGAUGAGCCUAUGUCGGAUUAGCUAGUUGGUACGGUGUAAAGGCCUACCAAGGCGACGAUCCGUAGCUGGUCUGAGAGGAUGGCCAGCCACACUGGGACUGAGACACGGCCCAGACUCCUACGGGAGGCAGCAGUGGGGAAUAUUGGACAAUGGGCGAAAGCCUGAUCCAGCCAUGCCGCGUGUGUGAAGAAGGUCUUCGGAUUGUAAAGCACUUUAAGUUGGGAGGAAGGGCAGUAAGUUAAUACCUUGCUGUUUUGACGUUACCGACAGAAUAAGCACCGGCUAACUCUGUGCCAGCAGCCGCGGUAAUACAGAGGGUGCAAGCGUUAAUCGGAAUUACUGGGCGUAAAGCGCUCGUAGGUGGUUCGUUAAGUUGUAUGUGUAAACCCCGGGCUCAACCUGGGAACUGCAUCCAAAACUGGCGAGCUAGAGUACGGUAGAGGGUGGUGGAAUUUCCUGUGUAGCGGUGAAAUGUGUAGAUAUAGGAAGGAACACCAGUG
rnacentral:rRNA from 1 species